GAAUCUUCCGCAAUGGACGCAAGUCUGACGGAGCAACGCCGCGUGAGUGAAGAAGGUUUUCGGAUCGUAAAGCUCUGUUGCCAGGGAAGAACGGAUGGGGGAGUAACUGCCCUUGUCAUGACGGUACCUGAGAAGAAAGCCCCGGCUAACUACGUGCCAGCAGCCGCGGUAAUACGUAGGGGGCAAGCGUUGUCCGGAAUUAUUGGGCGUAAAGCGCGCGCAGGCGGUGCGUUAAGUUUGGUGUUUAAGACUGGGGCUCAACCCUGGAACGCACCGAAAACUGGCGGACUGGAGUGCAGGAGAGGAAAGUGGAAUUCCACGUGUAGCGGUGAAAUGCGUAGAGAUGUGGAGGAACACCAGUGGCGAAGGCGACUUUCUGGCCUGUAACUGACGCUGAGGCGCGAAAGCGUGGGGAGCAAACAG
rnacentral:rRNA from 1 species